rnacentral:rRNA from 1 species
CUGGGAUUGCCUCAGUAACUGCGAGUGAAGUGGCAAAAGCUCAAAUUUGAAAUCCGGUACCUUUUUGGUACCUGAGUUGUAAUUUGGAGAGACAAAUUUGGUUGAUGGCGCCGGCCUAGGUUCCUUUGAACAGGACAACAUAGAGGGUGAGAAUCCCGUUCCUGGCUGGAUGACCGUCACAUUUCUAAAUUGUCUUCGACGAGUCGAGUUGUUUGGGAAUGCAGCUCAAAAUGGGUGGUAAAUGUCAUCUAAAGCUAAAUAUUGGCGAGAGACCGAUAGCGCACAAGUAGAGUGAUCGAAAGAUGAAAAGCACUUUGAAAAGAGAGUCAAAAAGUACGUGAAAUUGCUGAAAGGGAAGCGCUUGAGACCAGACUCGAACCGUGGUGAUCAGCCGUGCUUCUGUGCGAUGUUACUUGCCACGGUUUGGGCCAGCAUCGGUUCUGGCGGUCGGAUAAAAGGUGGAGGAAUGUAGCUUCCUUCGGGGAGUGUUAAUUUAGCCCUCACCACAAUGCGGCCAGCCGGGACCGAGGACCGCGCUUUCUUUGGCUAGGAUGCUGGCAUAAUGGUCUUAAGCGACCCGUCUUGAAACACGGACCAAGGAGUCUAACAUCUAUGCGAGUGUUCGGGUGGAAAAACCCUUGCGCGAAAUGAAAGUGAACGGAGGUGGGAACCCGCAAGGGUGCACCAUCGACCGAUCCCGAAGUCUUCGGAAGGAUUUGAGUAGGAGCACAGAUGUUGGGACCCGAAAGAUGGUGAACUAUGCCUGAAUAGGGUGAAGCCAGAGGAAACUCUGGUGGAGGCUCGCAGCGGUUCUGACGUGCAAAUCGAUCGUCAAAUUUGGGUAUAGGGGCGAAAGACUAAUCGAACCAUCUAGUAGCUGGUUCCUGCGA